UCUCCUGUAGGUUAGUUUUUAAAUCGUUGGUUUGUGGUGUCAGAGACUUUUUUUGAACGGGAGAA
rnacentral:tRNA from 1 species